UAUGGGAGCAGUUUUUUUCCCCAACUCAGAAUCAGUGAAGUGGAUCUUUCUUAACACUCAAAAUUACAUUUUAUUGAACAGAAAAUUAUCAUUUUUUUAAUUGCAUGGCGUGAAACAGGAAUUAUUUUCAAAUAUAGGACAUAACCUACUAGAACAUCUUUCAGAAUGUAAAUGGUAGCCUAAUACAACAGCCUGCAACCUAUGCUAGAACUUUGCAAAGUUGAAUAGUCUUUAUUUCCGCAACGACAAUAUUACUUAAACAGUGUUUUUGAAAAUGCAUGUUUUUACUAAGCAUGUAUGCACAACCACCGUGAUAUGUAAAACUGGUUUUCCACUUGUCAGAUACAGCAGGUCAACCUCACCAUAGCACAUUUCACUGACUUGGACUUAUUAAAGUGUGAAGUAUGUUUAAAAUGUUGCUUAAAAUACGCUUAUUUGAAAGAAAAUGCCCCUAUUCCAAGACCACGCAGCUGAUUUCUUUAAAAGAUAGACAGGAACAUGGGCAGGAUGUUUAUACAGCAAAAUGUAAACAUUUUCCCUGGCCUUCUUUAAAUAAAAAAUCAAGCAAAAAGCCCCGCUAGAUCAGCUCAUACUCAAUCUGAUGCAUUAUGUCCGUUUUAGACAGCUCCUUGUGUAUGGAUAGGACUUUUCAACGUAAAUGCAGAAAGAGAUUUCAAUCAUGUAUAAUUAUUAUGUUCACACAGGAUAACUGAGGGAAAGAGCUCUGAGCCCAGCCGAACAUUGAGCACUGAAACUCGGCUGAGGACUUUAGAUCGACGCCCACCAAACACUCUCUCCUCAGAAUGGUGCUCGAAUCAAGCCCUCUGUGAUGGAUGAGAGAGAGAGGGUUUUCCAGUGAUGGCAACAGUUCCUAUGACAACCAGACCUCCACCGGGGGAUUGCGUCUGUCAGACAGUGCUAAUGAUAAUUGAGAGGGGGAUUUUCCUGUGGCGAGCCGCUUCGGAAAAAGCAAUUAAGAAUUCCCAAACAGUGCACAACAAUGGAAGACGUCGUUCUGCAAUGCAAGUUCCGAAUCCAAGCUGGAGUGGGCAGGCAUGCGGGUUUGGCCACAGGAAGCCAUGAAUUCCUCGGAGAACAGAGGGUGUCAGGGCCCAGAACACGACUUGGGGGGGGAGUGACAUACUGUACCUUGUAACGUCUCAUAAUCCUCCUAGUUGACCCCUGACCCCGGCCUGCGUUUUUAUCAGGUCAUCGACGUGAGGAAUUGUAAUGAGUCACUCCAGCAGUGUGUUUACCUUCUGGAGUCACGCAAGGAAGGAAAUAAGGCACGGUCUUCUAAAAGUGUCAAAGUGAGAGAGAAUAGCAGCAGUAUUAGAGCAGAGCCCUGAUUCAUCUCACUGUGACUGACCUCUUGUACCGUUACACUGGGUUUAUUUAACCUAUUCACUACUGUAGGGAGACUAGCUACAGAUCAGCCAAAACAGGGAGUAAGUCUACAAUAUAGCGCACUGUAUGAAAACAUAAGGUAUGAGAUUAAUAGUGUAAUUCUGUAAUUGAUGUCUGAUUCAUAGUUUGGUUCACUCAUUGAGUGAAAUGAUCCGUGUACUGUAGUAUGUAGGUACAGCUUGUUUUUGCUAUCACUGUGUAAUAUGUUGCUAAUAGUCCGAACAUGUAUUAUUUUUGUCAUAAUUUUCUGCUGACUGUGUUGCAGUCGUUCCAGUUUUUUUGCUAUGCCCAAUGAAAUUAGGCGAGAUUAAGUAAUUUCUUUUCUCUGUCUCAUGCAACAAUCAUAAAUGAGGUGAUUUUUCCGUGUAAUAAAAAUGUAUUGCAAUACAUUUCUGACUCUCCCAGAUACAGAUUAUAUUAUACGCUUUAGAGGAGAAAUCGCUGCACUCCCAAAUACAUUGUUUUUUUUAUCUUGAACUUGAAACUGGAAUGAGUAUGGAACUGUGGCCAACGCCUGUGAUUAAAAUACAAUGUCCUGGCCUACCAUCACGCUGUAGCCUUCGACACCGUGGGCUUAUGUGAUUGCACAAUUGUUGUUUUUGAGCAAGUGCCCUUGUUAGUUUUACUCUGUAAAUAAAUAUGUGCUUCGAGCUGACAA